rnacentral:rRNA from 1 species
UACGUAGGCAGCGAGCGUUUGUUCGGAGUUACUGGGCGUAAAGAGUGCGUAGGCGGUUUUCUAAGUUUGGUGUGAAAUCUCCCGCUUAACUGGGAGGGUGCGCCGAAGACUGGAAGGCUUGAGUAUGGGAGAGGUAAGCGGAAUUCCUGGUGUAGCGGUGAAAUGACGCAGAGUAUCAGGAGGAACACCGGUGGCGAAGGCGGUUCUCUGGGCAUUACCUGACGUGAGGAGCGAAAGUGUGGGGAGGCGAACAGG